CAGCUACUCAGGAGGCUGAGGCAGGAGAAGCACUUGGACUCAGGAGACGGAGGCUGCAGUGAGCUGAGAUUGCACCACUGCACUCCAGCCUAGGUGACAGAGAUUCUUCCACAAAAAAAAAAAAAAAAAAAAAAAAAAAAAAAAAAAAAAAAGACAAACGCUUAUCUAGACUAACCAAGAAGAAAAGAGAGAAGAUGCAAAUCACUAAAACAAGGAAUUGCACUCCAGCCUGG
rnacentral:lncRNA from 1 species